rnacentral:rRNA from 1 species
UACGUAGGCAGCAAGCGUUGUUCGGAGUUACUGGGCGUAAAGGGUGCGUAGGCGGCUCUAUAAGUAUGGUGUGAAAUCUCCCGGCUUAACUGGGAGGGUGCGCUAUAGACUGUGGGGGCUAGAGUGUGGGAGAGGAAAGUGGAAUUCCUGGUGUAGCGGUGAAAUGCGUAGAUAUCAGGAGGAACACCGGUGGUGUAAACGGCUUUC